GGGUAUGUAGUUUAGUCGGGUAGAACGGCUGAACCGUUGCCAACAGUCGGUCGUACAGCGUCGGUCAGCAAGCCCGGGGUUCGAAUUUUCGCAUCCCA
rnacentral:tRNA from 1 species